GCAGUCGAACGGCAGCGCGGGGCAACCUGGCGGCGAGUGGCGAACGGGUGAGUAAUAUAUCGGAACGUACCCAAGAGUGGGGGAUAACGUAGCGAAAGUUACGCUAAUACCGCAUACGAUCUAAGGAUGAAAGCAGGGGAUCUUCGGACCUUGUGCUCCUGGAGCGGCCGAUAUCUGAUUAGCUAGUUGGUGAGGUAAAGGCUCACCAAGGCCACGAUCAGUAGCUGGUCUGAGAGGACGACCAGCCACACUGGAACUGAGACACGGUCCAGACUCCUACGGGAGGCAGCAGUGGGGAAUUUUGGACAAUGGGCGAAAGCCUGAUCCAGCAAUGCCGCGUGAGUGAAGAAGGCCUUCGGGUUGUAAAGCUCUUUUGUCAGGGAAGAAACGGUGAGGGCUAAUAUCCUUCGCUAAUGACGGUACCUGAAGAAUAAGCACCGGCUAACUACGUGCCAGCAGCCGCGGUAAUACGUAGGGUGCAAGCGUUAAUCGGAAUUACUGGGCGUAAAGCGUGCGCAGGCGGUUUUGUAAGUCUGACGUGAAAUCCCCGGGCUCAACCUGGGAAUUGCGUUGGAGACUGCAAGGCUAGAAUCUGGCAGAGGGGGGUAGAAUUCCACGUGUAGCAGUGAAAUGCGUAGAGAUGUGGAGGAACACCGAUGGGCGAAGGCA
rnacentral:rRNA from 1 species